rnacentral:misc_RNA from 1 species
UCUAAUCUUUCAUUUAGCAAUCCUCUUUAAUAAAAAUAUAAAGAGCAAGGGUCUCGCCCGUUCACUACGCAUUUAAGCUGACUUCUCACGAAACGAGCUGUCGACAGCCAUGCAGCACCUGAUCGAAGACACCACUGUGCACCAACAUUUCUACGAUGCACAACGCAUCCUAUUGUUUAAACAGGUCUUUCUUCAUUUUUCAAAAACUGGUAAGAUUUUUCGAUUAGUAUCGAAUUAAACCACAUACUCCACCGCUUGUAUAGACUUCCGUCAAUUCCUUUGAGUUUCAACCUUGCGGCCGUAGUCCCCAGGCGGAGUGUUUAACGCGUUAGCUGUUGUAAUUUCGUAUUCAAACUCCACACUUAACACUCAUCGUUUACAGCGUAGACUAC